rnacentral:rRNA from 1 species
UACGUAGGGGCGAGCGUUGUCCGGAUUUAUUGGGCGUAAAGCGCGCGUAGGCGGCUGAUCACGUCGGGUGUCGAAAGCGUCAGGGCUCAACCCUGAGAUGCCAUUCGAUACGGGUCGGCUAGAUGGUAGGUAGGGGAGAGUGGAAUUCCUGGUGUAGCGGUGAAAUGCGCAGAUAUCAGGAGGAACACCGGUGGCGAAGGCGGGUCUCUGGGCAACAACGUGACGCUGGAGGAGCGAAAGCGUGGGGAGCGAACAGG